GAAUGCUCGAGUUCCUUUCAUGUUUCGCCUCUCCCCUGUCUCGUCUUCUCCGCUGCUGCUGCUUCUUUGGUCCCUCGCUUUGUCGGGAGACGGAACCCUCCUUGCUUGGCUCCCCACUGAGGGACCAUUGGCCCCCUCGACGCCCGCCCACGGACGCGGGGCCUUCGGACCGCCUCGCCGGAUUCACCGGCCCCUGUCUUGAACGCCCGGUCUGAUGCAUAUGGCGGCUGCACUAUAGUGAACGAGAGGGCGGUGGUGUUGAAGCUCGCCCGAGUGAGAAAGAUGAAGCGGCUUGCCAACGGAGCUGCGGCUCACGAAGUGGAGACGAAGACGAUCAACCCGGAGCUGUGGCAUGCGUGUGCGGGGCCGCUUGUGACGCUGCCGCUGGUGGGGAGCCUCGUCGUGUACUUUCCCCAGGGACACAGCGAGCAGGUUGCAACUUCUAUGCAAAAGGAUCUUGAUGCUCAUAUUCCAAACUAUACCAGUCUUCCCUCAAAGUUGAUAUGCCUUCUUCACAAUGUUACACUGCAUGUGGAUCCAGAGACAGAUGAAGUUUAUGCUCAGAUGACUCUUCAGCCAGUUAAUUCGUAUGAGAAGGAGGCAUUGCUGGCAUCAGAGCUUGCACUAAAACAAACCAGGUCGCAGACAGAAUUCUUUUGUAAAACACUUACUGCGAGUGAUACAAGCACACAUGGAGGGUUCUCUGUUCCUCGUCGUGCUGCAGAGAAAAUUUUCCCUGCUCUUGACUUCUCAAUGCAGCCACCUGCUCAAGAAAUACAGGCCAGAGACUUGCAUGAGAAUCUCUGGACCUUCCGUCAUAUCUAUCGAGGUCAACCCAAAAGGCACUUGCUCACCACUGGUUGGAGCUUAUUUGUGAGCGGAAAGAAGCUCUUCGCUGGUGAUUCCGUCUUAUUUAUUAGGGAUGAAAAACAACAGCUUCUUUUAGGUAUUCGGCGUGCUAACAGGCAACCUACCAGCAUAUCAUCAUCUGUCCUGUCAAGUGAUAGCAUGCAUAUAGGCAUUCUUGCUGCUGCAGCCCAUGCUGCUGCAAACAACAGCCCAUUCACUGUAUUUUACAAUCCAAGUGGUAAAUUAAUGUCAUUCUGCAGGACCUGUCCUUCAGAUUUUGUUAUUCCUUUUGCAAAAUACCAGAAGGCAGUAUAUAGCAACCAAAUAUUCCUGGGUAUGCGCUUUCGUAUGUUGUUCGAAACUGAAGAAUCAGGAACAAGAAGGUACAUGGGUACCAUUACAGGCAUUAGUGAUUUGGAUCCUGUAAGGUGGAAAAACUCACAAUGGCACAAUUUGCAGGUCGGAUGGGAUGAGUCUGCAGCAGGCGAGAGACACAACAGGGUGUCCAUAUGGGAGAUUGAACCUGUGAUAGCUCCUUUCUUCAUCUGUCCACCAUUUUUUCGCAAGCGCACCAGACAACCAGGAAUGCUAGACGAUGAAUCAUCAGAAAUGGAAAAUAUUUUUAAGAGGGCAAUGCCUUGGCUUGGAGAGGAGACCUGCAUAAAGGAUUCUGAAACUCAGAGCACUGUAAUGCCAGGUCUAAGUUUAGUUCAAUGGAUGAACAUGCAACAAAAUCCAUCCCUUGCUAGCCAAACCCUGCAAACAGAAUAUUUGUGCUCCCUUGCUGGACCUGUCCGAAACCUUGGUACAACUGAUCUUUCUUGGCCAUUGGGUUUGCAAGCUUCAAAGUUGCAACAGGCAAAUAUGCAGUUUAAUGCUAGUAGGAUGAGUCAACAAGUUGAGGAACUUGCUAAAUUGUCAAUCCCACUGAACCAAGUGGGUGCUGUUAGUAGACAACAGAUGCAAGAUCUAUCUUUGCAGCAGAAGCAGCAAUUGGUCAACCAAGCAGUACCAUCUGACGAGAGACAGAACAACAUAAUACAGCCUCAAGUACUGAUCCAGAUUCAAUUGCAGCAACAACAGCACCAGCCACAGCAAGAGCCACCGACUAUGAUACAGAACAAGGAGUUAUUACAAACCAGCCUCCACCAGAAUCAGCAACAACAUCCUCAGCAACUGCUCCUGCAGCAGCAGCACCAGGACCAGCAACUUGAGCAGCAAUACCAGCCACAGCCAAGUAGGAUUCUAGCAGUGAAUCAACAGUUAUCUGAUCAACAGAAUCGGCCACAGUUGCUACAAAAACUCCAGCAGCAGCAGCAACAACAACAGCAGUCAUCAUUUUCACAGCCCCGAAUGCAACAACCUCCGUUUCCUCAAAUUCAGGAGUCCCAAAAAACUCUCCCAGAUGUACUACAGCAGUUAUUGAACUCCCAUUCACUAGUUCAGCAACCAAUGAUUCCUCAACCAUGUCCAAAAGCUACUCCUGCAAGGCUACAACAGCCUUCGCCCAACCUGUCACAGCAAAAGCCUCAACAGCAGCAAACUCUACUAGGUGACUUAUCCGGGGCUAUCCUUCCUGCUACACCGGCAACCAAUUUGAUCCCUGCUUGUGGCAGCUCUUUGCUAGCAGCUGAAGGGACACAGUCAGGAUUUACCAACGACAACCCAUUUUGCUCCACAUCACCUUCAGCAAACAAUGGAGCUAUUCUUCCACAUUCAAUUUUAAAUGGGAUUCAAAACUACACUCUCGAGUCAACAGAGAAGACGUCUCAGUCAGUUAUUACAAUGCUUGGUCCAACCUCCGUUGAAAAUGCUGCAGCAAUACCCAACAUCUCGAAGGAGUUUCCAAAAGCUGUACACAGUAUGAAGCUCUUGACCCCAUUUUCCAAGGUGCAAAAUCAGGGUGUCAUUGCCCCUCAGACAUAUGUAGGCAACACAACACAAAUGGAUUACUUGGACACAACCUCUUCAGCAACUUCUGUGUGCCUAUCCCAGACUGAUGGACCAUUACAUCAAAUUUUCCCUCUCUCUUCUUUCAAUCAACCAUCAAUGCUCAGGGUUGCACCUACAUAUGGUGAUGUCCAGGGCACAGAUCCAGGAGAUAAUGUUCCCUUUGGAGAUAACAUCGAUAGCUCAUUGGAAUUACCUUUGACCAUUGAUACUAUGCUGGCAAACAGCAUUGAUUCAGGAAAGUAUCAGAAUCGUAUCACUAGGGAUGUAGUUGCCAACUAUAAUGCCUCAAAAGAUGCUCAACAAGACUUAUCAUUAUCCAUGGUAUCACAAGCAUUCGGAAUUCCAGACAUCGCAUUUAAUUCUAUAGAUUCAACUACUAAUGAGAAUGUUUUCUUAACUAAAAGCUCGUGGACACCAGUGCCGCCACCACUUCAGCAUAUGCGCACUUACACUAAGGUAUACAAGCGUGGAGCUGUUGGCAGAUCGAUAGAUAUCACACAUUACUCAGGCUAUGAUGAGCUGAAACAUGAUCUUGCACGAAUGUUCAAUAUAGAGGGACAGCUGGAAGAUCGACAAAGAAUUGGCUGGAAGCUAGUUUACGUAGAUCAUGAAAAUGAUGUUCUACUUGUUGGAGAUGACCCAUGGGAGGAGUUUGUGAACUGUGUUCGGUGCAUCAAGAUAUUGUCUCCACAAGAAGUACAACAGAUGAGCAUCGAUGUUGAUUUGGAAAACAAUAGCCUCCUAAAUCAGGCUUGCGGCAGCUCUGAUGGUGGAAAUGCCUGGAGGGGCCACCAUGAUCAGAACUCAGGCAACCUCUCAGCUGGAUCGUAUGAUCAUUUUGAAUGAUAAUAUAAUCAUUUGGAAUGACUAACUGAUCAUGCGGUGAAGCUGAUUUCAACUUUUGUUGGCCAUCGUGCCUGGCAUUCCAUAUGAAGAUCGUCUAAAAGAUGAUGAUGAGUGGAAGUGUCCAUUGUCCAAACUGCAUAAUUGAUGGCAAAAAGCCAAUAUCGAAAAGCAGAAGCAGCUACACAUGACAAACCUCACCCAUUAUUUUUGAAUGGAGAUGAGAAAUUGUGGUGAAAUGCUGCCUAGAAUUUGAAGUACAGUUGAAGUCAUAGGCAGAAAGGAUGUCGCAAAGGAGUAACCUUACUAAGGUCUGACCUUAUUCGAAAUCGAAACUUGGUGCUAAAAAGGAAAAAAAAAAAUAGUGUGUAACUUCAUGAAGUAAACAUAUUUCGGCACAAUUUCAGAAUCUGCUGCCUGCUUCUCAUCUCCUCGACAGAGUGCUUCUCGGUACCAAUGAACUCGGUGUCUACCUUCGGUUCUCAUCACCGACUCACCUGCAUGGAAGCUUGACUGUUGAUGGGCGAGCUCUGAGUACUGUAUCGCAGCGUGCAGUUCGCCAAGCUAUCUUCUCCGAGAGCACUUAGCCACUGCAGCUCUGGCAACACAACCUUUUCGAGAUCUGGUCUAUCCUUCCUUCUCAGCUCUGUGCACUUGAGUGCCUUCUCAGCAAGCCGCUGAGCCGCCUCCACCGGCCAGUCCGACUCCGCAGGAUCCAACACUUCGGCGAAUGUUCCCUGCUCGAUUGCGCGGCUCACGAGGUGCGUUAGCCCCAUCGGAGGCUUCGCCGUGAUGAUCUGCAGCAGCAGAACCCCGAGCGAGUAUAUGUCGGACUUCACCCCCAGCAUGCCCGUCUGCUGGUACUCGGGAUCGAUGUAGCAGAAGGUUCCGGCCGUGGAGGUGAUCCGGUACUGCGUGACGCUGUCCGCCACCGACGGGGGGACCAGCCGGGCGAGGCCGACGUCGCCGAUCUUGCUCACGUAGUUCCUGUCGAGGAGGAUGUUCCCGGGCUUGAGGUCGCGGUGUACCAGUGGCUCCGGCUUCAUCCGGUGCAGGAAGAGGAGUCCGGUGGCGAUCUCACAAGCGAUGCGGAACCUGUGCUGCCAUGGGAUCACCGGCGAGUUGCCUCGCCGGAAAAGUCUGUCGUCCAAGCUCCCGUUGGCCAUGUAUUCGUACACGAUACAGCCGUACUCCGGGCAGGCACCCAGGAGCAGCACCAUGUUCGGGUGCCUGAUGCAGCUCAGCACCUCAACCUGCGCAACCAAAGGGAAGCAUCAAGGCGAACCUGCAACAGGUAUCGGUUUGAUCCCAUGCUCAUCCACUCUGCUUACCUCUUGUUGAAACUGCGACCUCCCUUGAGCUGCAUCCGGGCGCAGAACCUUGACGGCCACCGCCGUGUGAUCCAGAUGGCAUUUGUAGACCGGGCCAUAGCCACCCUCUCCGAUCUUACGAUGCUCAGCGAAGUAUUCCGUGGCAAUUUCGAUAUCCUCAAUGGUGUACUUCCUGUACCUCACGUCCGCACGAGGUGCGGAAUCUAAAGUUCUGUUGUUCUCGUGGGCAUCUUUAAUUGCCAUCAUCUCUGCAUCUA